rnacentral:rRNA from 1 species
GGUGGCGGAUGGGCAUGCGUCGCAUUAGUUAGUUGGCGGUGUAACGGACCACCAAGACGACGAUGCGUAGGGGUUCUGAGAGGAAGGUCCCCCACACUGGUACUGAGACACGGACCAGACUCCUACGGGAGGCAGCAGUGAGGAAUAUUGGUCAAUGGGCGGGAGCCUGAACCAGCCAAGUCGCGUGAGGGAUGACGGCCCUAUGGGUUGUAAACCUCUUUUGCCGGGGAGCAAAGUGCCGCACGUGUGCGGUUUGGAGAGUACCCGGAGAAAAAGCAUCGGCUAACUCCGUGCCAGCAGCCGCGGUAAUACGGAGGAUGCGAGCGUUAUCCGGAUUUAUUGGGUUUAAAGGGUGCGUAGGCGGACGCUUAAGUCAGCGGUAAAAUUGCGGGGCUCAACCUCGUCGAGCCGUUGAAACUGGGUGCCUUGAGUGGGCGAGAAGUACGCGGAAUGCGUGGUGUAGCGGUGAAAUGCAUAGAUAUCACGCAGAACUCCGAUUGCGAAGGCAGCGUACCGGCGCCCAACUGACGCUGAAGCACGAAGGCGUGGGUAUCGAACAGGAUUAGAUACCCUGGUAGUCCACGCAGUAAACGAUGAAUGCUAGUUGUCCGGG